rfam:Schistosoma mansoni strain Puerto Rico chromosome 2, complete genome
AUCUAGCUGACGAGUCCGAAAUAGGACGAAAAGCGGCUUGUCCUGGAU